UACGUAGGGUGCAAGCGUUGUCCGGAAUUAUUGGGCGUAAAGAGCUCGUAGGCGGUCUGUCGCGUCGGCUGUGAAAACUCGGGGCUCAACCCCGAGCCUGCAGUCGAUACGGGCAGACUAGAGUGCGGUAGGGGAGACUGGAAUUCCUGGUGUAGCGGUGAAAUGCGCAGAUAUCGGGAGGAACACCGGUGGCGAAGGCGGGUCUCUGGGCCGAAACUGACGCUGAGGAGCGAAAGCGUGGGGAGCAAACAGG
rnacentral:rRNA from 1 species